rnacentral:lncRNA from 1 species
GUAAGAUUCCCCAGAAAGUCAGGAACAGGCCAAAGCAGAAGAUCUCCUGCUGCAACACUGCACAGACGCAGCCUCUAGCACAGAGCGAAGUGUUUUGGAAAGUGCUCCUUGGACGAAGAGCCCCAAAAUUGCAUCCCAGCACCCACACUGCUGCCAGGAGCCCUGGUUGUUGAUGGCAGGACAAGGAGGAGCCUGGGGCAUUUCUGGCUCCAGGAGAGGAGCAAGCAAAGCAAGGUGCCCUCAUGCCUAGGGGCUUCUCUCCCUGCAGCGAAGGCACCUUUCAAACAGGGACCUGCAGGCUGUGCAGCUCAGCCCAGCUCUGGUUCCAGCAGCCUGGUGACACAUCCCCUGAGCAAAGGACACAACAUGGAAAUAGCAACGUGUCUCAACAAUUGGCACAAUUCUGGAAAGGUGACUUCACUUUGCCCUUCGGCCCAGGGACAAAGGACUGGCAGUGUGAUGAUGGGAGAUAUUUGAGUCCUACCUGGCAAGAGGGAAACUGGCAGAAGCACCACCUGGCUUUUUUGCAGCAAAGAAACAAGGUCAAGGACUCAGUUCAUUCCAUCUGUGGUAUUUUUACUCUGUAAUUUAUUUAACAGUAGGAAUAAGAGGCCCUAUCAGAAGCCAAGACCCUCAUAGUCAAGGAGAAAUGGGAGAGACCGAGACCUCAAAUCUGCUGUGCUCCAACUCCAGCUCCCCACAUCCCUCUCCUGGGAGAGCGUUGCCAUCAGUGAUGACGGACCUCCAGCCAUCCUUACUCUGCAGAGAGCCCUCAGCAGCCACCAGUAAAGUCCUAACAGCUCUGCCUCCAGCACGGCUGGACCUCACUGGGCACAGGAUAGAAGACAAGCACUGAUUCCUGCUCCAUCCAGGAGGUGUGAGAGCU